GCGGAGAUCUGUGAUGAAGCUUACUAUUUCCUUUGCCACGUUAUGCACACUUUGUCUUGUACUUGUGGAAGGUGAGGUAAAACGAAAUGAAGAAUGCUACUUGCCCUAUGGCGAAGCUGGAUGCGCUGGAGUAAAGUCCAUGUGGUAUUUUGACUACAAUAGAAGUAUAUGUAUGGCGUUUAAGGAUGGUGUCUGCGGAUCUACGAACAACAGCUUUCUAACGUGUGAAGCUUGCAAAAGUGCAUGCAAAGUUGAUGCAUGCGCCAAAAAACUUCUCACAAUCUGGGAGAAGCUGUUCGGGUGAAGCACAUACAUAUACGAGACAAUAUUGAAUAUAACUGUGAAAUAUAUUG